GCAGGUUUUUCAAGCUUUACCAACAUAUCGGAAUUACGCUUGAAUUUGAAAAUUUUGGCGGGCGUGCUGCCUGACAAAGUCCUUAAUUCAAUCGUUCGUUUCUGUCCGGAUAUUUGUGCAACUGAUGGAACAUUAUCUUUCAGUGGGUCGCAAACGGAUGGCAAACUUUUCUCAUCUGUCAGCAUCUGAACUUCCGUAUUGGGCUGAAUAAACUCGGUCGCCAACGGUUGAACCUGAAGCUCAAUUGUACUCGUUACAACAUUAUCAUCCUUCGAUACCUGAGAAAGAGGCAACGGUCGCACCAAAGGAGGAACCACACGAUUCAAGCCUUCAGCGUCGCAUAGGUUGUACAGAUUCAACGAUGGAUUUGCCGUUAUGUUCAAGCUUCGUGAGAGCUUAUUUUUGUAGUCCGAAUCUCGAAAGUGUCGUGUACAGACGAAAUAUUUGCCCCUAAUGAUAUCCGUAUCAAGAUCGCGCAAUUCCGGAACCGCAAGUAUGGUUUUCCAUAGUUCAGCCCGAUCCCGGUCGGAGGGAAACUUAUGCACCAACUCGAACCGUUCGCCCUGGCAGCACGGCACCACACAGGGACGGGGCUUGGCCAUUGUCGAGUUAUACAAUAAGCAUAAAACUUAUCAAAUUGUUGAGAAACUGUUAGUUUCCACAAAAAACAGUGCACAACUUUCACGAUAUCCACCGUAUCCUUAGCUCGGAUCGGCUAUAUAGUAAACAAAACCAUAUUUCAAAUUUUAGUACAACUUAUUAUCGGAGAUAGAAGAUUCUGUGGAACUAACCACUAAAAAAUUCAAAUUGGAAAUAUACCGCCACACUGUCUGUACACUCGAAUAGCUGUACUAAGAAAGGGUGGUAUCUACCUACACUGAGAAAAGAAAUAUAGUAUCCAUGACCGGACUUUUCUGGUUAUCUUAACUAUUCAUCAAAACAGUAGUAAUGACCAAGAGAUCAGUAAUACUGAACUUCUGCAUUGUAAAAAAUACUAUGAAACUUGAUUGCCACCUAACUAUGCUGUUGGUAUUUAUAACGAUUCGAACAUGGUCACUCCAACAACAUUUACCGUUUCUAAAUUGGCAAAGAAAUAGAAUGCAUCACCCUUAAUGGUAAUUCAGACUAUUCAAUUGUCAGUUUUGAGAUGAUGAAUAUUGUUGAAGUGACAAUGUAAAAGUAAAAAUGAAAACCAAUGUCAAUGUCAUCACUAGUUUUCGUAUGAUUGUUCUCAUCACAAUAUAAUAGUAAGUUAUGAAAACAACGUAUAUAGUUGCAAUAAGAAUGCGAAUAUUGAAAUUACAACCAACACUGCUUAAGUGACCGUGACCCUUGUUGAAAGCACCAUUGGCAUAUAGUGUUUUUCAGCUGACCAUGUUUUGUAUUACUGCUGACUAUAUGCAUCUGGUCAAUUUUUGAGUUUCCACAUAUAUUUCUACAAGACGCCGCCAUUACAGUGAAAAGUUUUAUAGGUGAUACACGUGCGUAUACUCUAGAUUGUUUUCUAGAUUUUGAAUUGUUCCUGGAUAAGUUUUUCAUCAGGCGAGUAAAUACUUAAGAAACUUUUAAUAGGAGAAUUUCUUGAUUUUUAAAAUAAUUUUUCGAUGUUUUCAGCAUGGCGGAAAAAAAUAAAAAGAAGCUGAGUCAAUCAUCUAGCAGGUCUUAAACACUGAUCGCUAUUUUUCUAGACCUUAUGCAAACGAAAGAUUUGUAAUUCAUCCGUGUAAUGCGUAAUGCAUUUGAGAGUGAGAUGAAGAUUUAUGGUUCAAAAACGUUAUGACCAACGAAUUUACGCUUUGUCCAGAAAUUUAUUCCAAUUUGAUCCCACGGCGCACGGUGUCGGUUGCAAAAAGGAUGGCAUAUAAGCACAUUCUCCGACAAAUUUGGUUUGCUGGAAAUAGCAUUAUUCACAACUAGGUGUUGCUUAAACACUAUGGAGAACAAAACACCAGGAAUAAGUCUGAUCCGUCAAACCGACGCUUCACACAAUUUUGCUUCAUUCAAAAUGAAUUGUAAUGCACUCAACCCUACAGUUCCAGAUGCGGAAGAAUUUGAUGGCGCUCCAAUACACAUUCAGAAAAUGAAUCCAUAUAUUGUCCUAUUAGGGUAGAAAGUAAAUCAAUGUAAUAAAAUAAUAAAAAGUCAAAAAAAAUUAA